rnacentral:lncRNA from 1 species
ACGACACGAUCAAUAUUGUUUCAGUAAGAAUUCAAACAUCUCUCUCGAGAAGACUCGGAUACUAUAAAUAAAAGCCACACAGAUUACCAAUACUUCUUACACGAAGAUAAGUAAAUAUAUUAACAAAGCCAUUCCUCUGUUUCAAGGCAUAGUUCAUAGUUCGUACCUUUCUUUUUCUAUGCUCACAUCCAAUUCCAAAACUAACUUCAUUUUCUCUUUUUUCAUGCUCCAAAUUUCAAAAACCUCUUCAGUUUUCACUAAAUCUUCACCUUCUCAAUUCUCUUCUUACAAAUCCAUAGUUUCUCUUGCUCCUCUACAAAACCUAGAUCCAAUUCCCUUUCAAUAAAAAUCACAAUCAAAACAAAAUCAAAAAAAUUAAAAAAGAAAUGGAGUCGUUAAGUUUCAAUCUCCAAGCAGAGAAAUUAAACGCAAUUCUAAAAAAUCGAAAGCUUCAAAGAAUCACAGGCUUAUUACGAAUCAUUGAAGUAUUUAUUGUUUUGAUUUUAAUUUCAAGAAUUUCUAUGAAACUACCGAUUGCAGUGAGAAACUCAAGCGAGUAUUUAAGAGACUUUUCAAUCUUCAUGAACAGUCCUCGAUUUGUUUUUCUCAUCGGAAACGUAAUAAUCAUCACGCUUUUCGCUCAAGGUUUCGGAAAAAACGUUCCAAAAGAACUAGAACCUGAAAAUAUUUACGAAAUGUUAGUUCGUAAAAGUAUAAAGCACGAAGAAAAAGAUGAUAGCAAAGUGAAAGAAGGUGAUAGCGUAGUGGAAGAAAAAAUAAUGAAAAGAGGGGUGAAGAAGAGUUAUAGAAGGUGUGAGAGUGAGAUAUUGAAGAAACGACGUCGUGUUAUGCGGAGGUGUGAGAGUGAGAAUAACGGAUGGAAAAGGAUUGAAGGUGCUCCUGUUGUUGAGGAGGAAAUGGUGAGGAUUUCGUAUCCG